ACCCAGCUGGCUCGGUCGGUGCAGCAUGUGACUCUUGAUCUCAGGGUUGUGAGUUCGAGCCCCGCGUUGGGUG
rnacentral:tRNA from 1 species